rnacentral:lncRNA from 1 species
GGGCUCGCUCUGUCACCCAGGUCGGAGUGUAAUGGUGUGAUCACAGCUCACUGCAGCCUCAACCUUCUGGGCUCAAGUGAUCCUUAUGCCUCAGCCUCCUGAGCAACUGGGACUACAGGCAUGUGCCACCAUGCCCAGGUAAUUUAUUGUUUUUUUGUCUGUUUGUUUGUUUGCUUGUAGAGACAGUGUCUUCCUAUGUUGCUCAGGCUGGUCUCAAACUCCUAAACUUGAGCGAUCUUCCCAUCUUGACCUCACAAAGUGCUGGGAUUACAGAUGUGAGCUGCUACACCCGGUCUGAACUUGGAAUUAAUUCCGUACUCUUAUCGCUGAAUAAAGGCAUUGAAAGUUAUGGUUACAAGUACAAAUAACUGUCUAGAAAGGGGGCAAACACUUCAUUACUAACCAUUCACAUCAUGGUUUAUUUAACAGGACUCAAAGGAGAUAGGAGAUUCCAGGAUAAAGAAUAUAUAUUAAUCACACUUUAGAGUACAGUGAAGACUUUCACAAGCAUUAUCUUGAUCCUUAGAGCAAUGCAGAGGGCCUUAUGAUUAUCACUCUCUUACAGGAGGAAGGCUAAAGUGUUCUCUGAAGCUGGACUCCUUUGGGAAUUCAGAGCUUUCCUGGCUCACCCCCCACGCACAGUGCACACGCACUUAGCAGUUUGUACACCAUGACCAGAGAUGCACAGAUCCAAGGCUGCCCAUCUAAGAACCUCAGCUGGAAAACCCAGGACCCAGAAUGAGUCUGGGUGACCACGCCUCACCCCUUUCCCUCAGACCUCUCUGGGAAGAACAAGAGACUGAGCAAGGCCACCCCCUGUCCUACCCCCAACUCAGAUCACGUCUCUAGUAUACAAUGUUAAAAUAAAUCACUGUUAAAAAAAUUACUGGGAGGAGGUUGGAUGCGGCAGCUCACGCCUGUAAUCCCAGCACUUUGGGAGGCCAAGGUGGGCAGAUCACCUGAGGUCUGGAGUUCGAGACCAGCCUGGCCAACGUGGUGAAACCCCGUCUCCACUAAAAAUACAAAAAUUAGCCAGGUGUAGUGGCAGCUGCCUGUAAUCUCAGCUACUCAGGAGGUUGAGGUAGGAGAAUCACUUGAACCAGGGAGGCAGAGAUUG